rnacentral:rRNA from 1 species
GAUUAGAGUUUGAUCAUGGCUCAGGAUGAACGCUAGCGGCAGGCUUAAUACAUGCAAGUCGAACGGGAUCCGAGGUAGCAAUACUUUGGUGAGAGUGGCGCACGGGUGCGUAACGCGUAUGCAACCUACCUUUAACAGGGGAAUAGCCCCGAGAAAUCGGGAUUAAUACUCCGUAACAUUGCGGGAUGGCAUCAUUCUGCAAUUAAAGAUUUAUCGGUUAAAGAUGGGCAUGCGUGACAUUAGCUUGUUGGUGAGGUAACGGCUCACCAAGGCAACGAUGUCUAGGGGUCCUGAGAGGGUUAUCCCCCACACUGGUACUGAGACACGGACCAGACUCCUACGGGAGGCAGCAGUAAGGAAUAUUGGUCAAUGGGCGCAAGCCUGAACCAGCCAUGCCGCGUGCAGGAAGACGGCCCUAUGGGUUGUAAACUGCUUUUGUCAGGGAAUAAACCUGUCUACGUGUAGACAGCUGAAGGUACCGAAGAAAAAGCCAUCG